CGGCAAUAGCUCAAAUUUGAAAUCUGGCUCUUUCAGAGUCCGAGUUGUAAUUUGUAGAGGAUGCUUCGGCUUACGUUUCGGUCUAAGUUCCUUGGAACAGGACGUCACAGAGGGUGAGAAUCCCGUUUGUGGCCGAGACUUCCGCCAUGUGAAGCUCCUUCGACGAGUCGAGUUGUUUGGGAAUGCAGCUCUAAAUGGGAGGUAUAUUUCUUCUAAAGCUAAAUACCGGCCAGAGACCGAUAGCGCACAAGUAGAGUGAUCGAAAGAUGAAAAGCACUUUGGAAAGAGAGUUAAAAAGUACGUGAAAUUGUUGAAAGGGAAGCGCUUGCGACCAGACUUGCCCGCGGAUGCUCAACCGGUCCUUCGGCCGGUGCACUCUUCCGCGGUCAGGCCAGCAUCAGUUCGAGCGGUCGGAUAAAGGCCUUGGGAAUGUGGCUCUCUUCGGGGAGUGUUAUAGCCCUUGGUGUAAUACGGCCCGCCUGGACUGAGGCCCGCGCUUCGGCUAGGAUGCUGGCGUAAUGGUCGUAAGCGGCCCGUCUUG
rnacentral:rRNA from 1 species